UAUUUUACCACAUCAUUUUACAAUACAUCUUACAUCACAUGUUUUAUUAUUUGAUUCUAAACAUUAAAAUAAUAUAUACAACACAUUAAAUAAUAUAUUAACUCAAAACCCAGCCAAUAUACAAACACACAACAGCCAGUGGCAGUCACCACCUAUCAAGAACCAACAAACACUGCUACAGCCAUCGCCACAACCAAGAGCUUCCUCUACCACCCAAAAUACAACUCAAAACAAACACAACCAUAUACCCACAACAAACCCAUUACUAAACCACCACCAGUGGCAAAUCAACCGCCACAAACUACAACCACAAUCACUGGAUACUCCAACAAAUUCCAAAUCCAAAAACCUCAAAAAAAGAAAAAAAAAAAAAAAAAGAGAGAAUAAAACUCAACCAAUUACAGCCACAAACACCACUGGCCCAAAACUCAACCAACCAUCGGCCUAAAACCCAGCCCAACCGACCCAAAACCUCGACCCACAACCCAAACAAUGCCAAUCCAAAAUGCCGAAUUCACAACCCACACAACCACUGCUGAAUCCACCAUCAAAUCACAAAAAAAAAAAAAAAAAAAGUGGAGAUUUGUUAUGUGAUUUUUUUGUAGAAGUAGAAUUGAGCUAUUGAACAUAUUUUAUAUUUGUGCUCGUUCUCUAAUUGGAUAUGGUGUGCUGUUUUAAAGUUUUCUUUUCAAUAGAAGAAUUGGAAGUUGGCUUGAGGAGAUUCAUUGAGCUGUGAAAGAGCUUAAAGGAAAAGUUUUCAACAGUUGAUUGGGAGGGUGGCAUGGGUUGCUGUGUUAAGCUGUAUAUGGAUGAGGCAUAAUGCUAGAAUUCAUACAAACAGAGCUUGUUCUGAAUGUAAAAUUCUUAAAAGAUAUUUAAGAAGGAUGUUAGAUACAAGUUAAUAGUCACAUGGGAUGAACCUGAAGUUCUGCAUAAUGCCAAGGGAGUGAGUCCUUGGCAAGUUGAGGUUCUUUCACCAACAGCACCUGUCCACACUGCAUUAACCCCCACAAAGAAAUUCAGAACCCCUCAGAGCUCUGGUCAGCUAACUGAUGGAGAGGGUGAUCUUUUCUUUCCUUUCUCAGGAUAUACUAAUUCAACAAUGGGACACAUGAGCCAAACAUUGUUGAAUUAUAACACUUUUCCUGCUAGCAUGCAGGGAGCCAGGCAAAAUCUAUUCAGCAAAUCCAGUUUAUCCAACUUCAUAAGUGAAAACAAUAUGUGCAUUGAUAAUUCCUUUGGCAACAACACGGUGCCAAAGUUGAAAAGUGUGUCUACUGAGCUGAAUAUUGGAAGUUUACAGUCUGAAAACUUAUCACCUGAUAGCCAGAGUAGUAUGCACUCCCCCUUUGGAACUGAAUUCGUUGGAACCCAAUACUGCAGCUCACCAAAAGUUGGUACUGGGUCCUUUCAGUUGUUUGGUAAGAUUAUUCAUACGAAUCAACCUGUUGAAAGUGGGUUCGAUGACAUUGGUUGUGCAGAAGAUGAUGGCAGUAAGGGGUACAAUGAAACUGAUGAUGUAAACAACCCACUAGAUCAUUCUUUGAAUUACACAAAACUGCUUGACAGGCUUGAUGUUCAAUGCCAGAGAGCCUCAGCUGUCGGGGCAUGUAAUUUGUGAACUAGUGGUUGCAUCUAUGUCAUGCAGAUAAAUAGCUGUACAGGUACUUAAGGCAGGCAGGAGGAAGCUGAUUACCAUUUGACUCUUCCAGUGGUCACUUCAUUAUGUUGGUUUAUUUUAGUUUUGCUAUGUUGGGAACUUGAAACUGUGGUAGACUUGGUUUUGGUUGUUUAACUCAAGGGUGAGAUGUCAGUGUGAGAGAUGUUAUACAAUAUUUCUAAUUCCUGUAGUUUGCCGUAUUUGUGGUUAUUUGGUCUUAUUUGGUUG